GGGAGGGGGCCGGGUCCUGGGCUGUGUCCCCGGCGCCCUGUGCUCCUGGGCCUGCCCUGUUGGAUUCACUCCCGCCCCGCAGCCCCCU
rnacentral:pre_miRNA from 1 species